GCUGGUGAAAUAGCUCAGGGGUAGAGUGCUUGCCUGGCAUGCGUGCAGUCCUGGGUUCAAUCCCCAGACCCCAGUC
rnacentral:tRNA from 1 species